rnacentral:rRNA from 1 species
UUCGCAAUGCCCGAAAGGGUGACGAAGCGACGCCGCGUGGGUGAGGAAGGCCCUCGGGUUGUAAAGCCCUGUCAGGAGUUAAGAAAUGUAAGUGCGCUAAUAUCGCAUUUAUUUGUCGAAGGCUCCAAAGGAAGCCACGGCUAACUCUGUGCCAGCAGCCGCGGUAAUACAGAGGUGGCAAGCGUUGUUCGGAAUUAUUGGGCGUAAAGAGCACGUAGGUGGGUUUGUAAGUCAGAUGUGAAAGCCUUCUGUUCAACGGAAGAAUUGCAUCUGAAACUACAAGUCUUGAGUGUAGGAGGGGAGAAUGGAACUUCUGGUGGAGCGGUGAAAUGCGUAGAUAUCAGAAGGAACGCCGGCGGCGAAAGCGAUUCUCUGGCCUAUUACUGACACUCAGUGUGCGAAAGCUAGGGGAGCAAACGGGAUUAGGUACCCCGGUAGUCCUAGCCGUAAACGAUGGGCACUAAGUAGAGGGGUUUU